rnacentral:rRNA from 1 species
UACGGGGGGAGCAAGCGUUGUUCGGAUUUACUGGGCGUAAAGGGCGCGUAGGCGGUCAGCACAAGUCAGUUGUGAAAUCUCCGGGCUUAACUCGGAAAGGUCAACUGAUACUGUGCGACUAGAGUGCAGAAGGGGCAACUGGAAUUCUCGGUGUAGCGGUGAAAUGCGUAGAUAUCGGGAGGAACACCUGCGGCGAAGGCGGGUUGCUGGGCUGACACUGACGCUGAUGCGCGAAAGCCAGGGGAGCAAACGGG